rnacentral:rRNA from 1 species
UACGUAGGGGGCAAGCGUUAUCCGGAUUCACUGGGCGUAAAGGGAGCGCAGGCGGCAUGGCAAGUCUGAUGUGAAAACCCGGGGCCCAGCCCCGGGAGUGCAUUGGAAACUGCCAGGCUGGAGUGUCGGAGGGGUAAGCGGAAUUCCUAGUGUAGCGGUGAAAUGCGUAGAUAUUAGGAGGAACACCAGUGGCGAAGGCGGCUUACUGGACGACUACUGACGCUGAGGCUCGAAAGCGUGGGGAGCAAACAGG